CGAGUGAAGCGGCAAAAGCUCAAAUUUGAAAUCCCCCGGGAAUUGUAAUUUGAAGAGAUUUGGGUCCGGCCGGCAGGGGUUAAGUCCACUGGAAAGUGGCGCCACAGAGGGUGACAGCCCCGUGAACCCCUUCAACGCCCUCAUCCCAGAUCUCCAAGAGUCGAGUUGUUUGGGAAUGCAGCUCUAAGUGGGUGGUAAAUUCCAUCUAAAGCUAAAUACCGGCGAGAGACCGAUAGCGAACAAGUACAGUGAUGGAAAGAUGAAAAGCACUUUGAAAAGAGAGUGAAAAAGUACGUGAAAUUGUUGAAAGGGAAGGGCUUGCAAGCAGACACUUAACUGGGCCAGCAUCGGGGCGGCGGGGAAGACAAAACCACCGGGGAAAGGUCCCU
rnacentral:rRNA from 1 species